UACGUAGGGUGCGAGCGUUAAUCGGAAUUACUGGGCGUAAAGCGUGCGCAGGCGGUUCGUUAUGUCCGAUGUGAAAGUCCCGAGCUCAACUUGGGAAUGGCAUUGGAAACUGGCGGGCUGGAGUGUGGCAGAGGGGGGUGGAAUUCCACGUGUAGCAGUGAAAUGCGUAGAGAUGUGGAGGAACACCGAUGGCGAAGGCAGCCCCCUGGGCCAACACUGACGCUCAGGCACGAAAGCGUGGGGAGCAAACAGG
rnacentral:rRNA from 1 species